rnacentral:misc_RNA from 1 species
UUUACACACAGAGAAGUACUCCGGACGGGUUAUCCCUUUAAACCCGUACAGUAUAAAGCCCCCGGAUCGGAGUACUUCUCUGUGUGUGG